rnacentral:pre_miRNA from 1 species
ACAGAGUGAUGACCUAUGAAUUGACAGCCAGUUUAAAACUGCCUGCCUGUCAGUUCUGUAGGCCACUGCCCUGU